CAGCCCUUGUGGGUUUAGAGGGAUGGGAGUAGGUAGGUCUCAUGCCACUGGGUUGAUAUUCUAGAGGGGAGCAUUGUUGCCUCUACUGCACAGAAUUUGUUCAGGAAGUUGGUGUAGCAGGUGGUGAUAAGCCCCACAGAGUUCCCACACACUUGGAGAGGCACACGCACUCCCACGGAUUUCCAUUGGCAGCAGAGAGAUGAGUUCGCGUCAGCCUGUAAUUAGAAUUCCCCACUUUCAGAACUCAUAAGCUUUCCCCAUGCAGAUAGCAACCACAGCUUUCAAGUCAUGCCCCUCUCUGUUCCCUGAAAAGCCUGGCACUUGGCUCCUACUCACAACUCCUGCACUCAUGGCUCAUGAACCCGUGGCUCCUGCACUCACAGCCUGCUUUUCACUCUCCCCUACACUGGCCCUGGCCACGGGAUUUUGUCACCACCAAAGGUUACAUCUGGAAACCCCGUUGGGAGCUUCUUUCAACUUGUGACCACUGCCUGAACUUUUUGGCUGUCCUUCACGAGGCCUUCUGAGCAACAGACUCCUUAUUGCUGCUGCCAUGGGAAGAAGGAUGUGUUCGCUUCUCCACUACUGUGGUUGUAAAUUUUCUGAAACCUCCACAGCCAUGCUGAACUGGAUCAUUGAAGUAGCAGUGGCAACGAUGUUAUGAAAGUUCCAUGGACGUCAGAGAUCCAGGAUCUUCUUGUUUCCUCACCACCAUCAUCAACUUCUCUGUCUUUUUUGGUUAAAAAGCCACCACAUCUACGACUGCAGUUUUCCCAGCAGAAAACAGGCUUGCAUUCUUGGAAGGUAAAGGGAUAAGAAGCUGUGAAGGUUACGUAAUGGAGAUGAAAGGCAAGCUACAGGAAGUGAAAUUGGCAAUUCUUCUUGGUCCCUGUUUGGGAAAAUGUGAAUCUCAUCCUCUCAGUUUCUAGUUUGACAGACUAUAAGAAGGGACAUACCUAACAAAGAAUACAUCUUGCAGAUUGCUACAUAAAGAGAGGAAGUGAAUCGCUACCACUCAAUCCUGACAUUAAUUCAACAGACACAUAUUUUGAUUUCUGAAGAAUUAUGGAAACAUUCUUUCAGAAGAGAACAAUGAAAGAUAGCAUUCUGUGUUUAGCACAUUUCCCCUUUCCAAGUGGCAGUGGAGCGUUGUAACAGCAAAGUAAAUUGCUUCUUAUUUCUAUGUGCUUUUUAAAACUGUGACACUGACUGAGCUGAACCACCAAGACCACAUCUGUACACAGCUAAAUAAAAGGUUUUACAUGAUGGCAAAACUGGGCAGAAUUAAUUUGUCCUUGGAUGUACUGAUGAUUGCAAUGCUUACACCACUGCUUUAUACACAGUAGGGUAACACUCAGAGUACUAUCAUGAAAUUCAGUUUUUAAUUUAAAAGAUUUUGAAAAAAGGACUCAUUACACAGGUAUGGCCAAGAUGAAGAGACACAGAAACGUCUGAUUGUAUACUGUAGCAUUAGUGACAGAUUGCCUGAGCAAGAAGUGAGAAAAAUAUUACUGAAGCCUCAGAGAGUUUGAAGCUUUAGAAAUAAAGCUGCCUAGCAAGAAUUGCAACCAUAGAAUAUAGUCAUUGCCCCAGAUUGAAGCAAGGCAAGGACAGGGGUUUGUUAGGAGUGAUGAAUACCUUGAUCUUUCUCUGUUCCAGCCAGCCCUCUAAUUUUCUGUGAUACUACUGGCCAAACCCAAUCAGAGGCUAAAAUUCAAGUGAUAUUGGGUGAUACGUGUGUAGGGCCAAAACUCCUUGAAAACAGAACAGGGAAGGGCUUGGAACAAUGGAGUUUCAAGGAGAGUAGCAAAUUAACAUAGUAGACAUACAAUCUAUAAGUUCGAGUUGAGGGCAGAAAUCAGUCUAGGCUGUUCAAUGGUAUGAAGUCAGGAACAAGGAUCAUACUUCUGAGCCAUAUGGAGGUAAGAUGCUAGAGGGAGAUGGUAAGUAAGCUACUAUUUUUUCCACUUAUGUAAGUAGAAA
rnacentral:lncRNA from 10 species